CACCUCCUGAGGGAUGGCUCAAUCAGUAGAGCAUGAGACUCUUAAUCUCAGGGUUAUGAGUUCAAGCCCACAUUGGGUGA